UUUCCGUAGGUGAACCUGCGGAAGGAUCAUUAUCGUAAAACCGAGGUGCAAGGGCUGUCGCUGACCUUCCAAAGGUCGUGCACGCCCGAGCGCUCUCACCACAAUCCAUCUCACCCCUUUGUGCAUCACCGCGUGGGUCCCCCUUUGCUGGAAGGGCUCGCGUUUUCACAUAAAACUUGACACAGUCUAGAAUGUUUAUUUUUGCGGUAACACGCAAUCAAUACAACUUUCAACAACGGAUCUCUUGGCUCUC
rnacentral:misc_RNA from 1 species